rnacentral:tRNA from 1 species
GGGCUGCUAGUUCAAUGGGAGAAUGCCUGGUUUGCACCCAGGUGAUGCCGGUUCGAGUCCGGCGUGGUCCAC